AUGAGGUUCCUAUCAUCCGUGGAUAUGCCUUGUCAUCCAUGGAUGGCCAUGGUUAUCCUCCCCCUCCUCCUCCUGCUCCUCGUGCCUCUCGCCGCUGCCGAAACUUGGCCAUUUUGCGGCAACAGUGGUAAAUUCGAAUCAAAUAGCACCUACGAAGCCAACCUCAGGCACCUCUCAUCCACCCUCCCGAAGAAGGCAGCAUCCAGCAGCACCAGCACCAGCCUCUUCGCCACCGACACCCAUGGGAAUGCUCCCAAUAUCAUCUUCGCCCUUGCACUCUGCCGCGGGGACUCCAACGCCUCUGCCUGUGAGGGCUGUUUGGUUACCGCCUUCCAGGACGGACAAGACAACUGCCCGAACAGUAAGGACACCACCGUGUACUACAAUGGUAAUCCCUGCAUGCUCAGGUUCUCCAACAAGAAUUUUCUUGCCACCACCGUCAAUGACAAAAUAUUCGUCGUUCCGAGCAUGGAAAUGCCGCUCAUCACCUCGACAAGAGCCGACUUCUUCAGGUUCUUGCUUUUCACGCUUCUGAACAGCACGGCUGAAUCGGUCACGGACAGCUCGUGGAUGUUCGCCACCUCGCGCUUAGACAUCAGCUCCUUGCCGACGCUCUACUGCCUUAUGCAGUGCACGCCCGACCUGAGCACCGAUGACUGUACGGACUGUUUCAAGGCUUACUACCAGUUAACGCUCAAGUACAUGGACGGUCGGAAAGGUGGUCAAAUUCUGGGGACACGGUGUAGCAUGAGGUACGAGAUAUAUCCAUUAGGGGACACCAUGCUGCGUAUUAGCGAAUUGGCAUCUGCAGUUCCGGCGAUCAACAACACCUUGCCGCCAGUUACAGUGUACCAGCAGUCGCCGGUUUCGCAAGCCACCAUCCAAGAAUAUCACGGACGCAACUCCCGCCGGAAGGCUCUGCGGAUUAUUGCUAUUGUAGCUCCAUUAUUGUCAAUAUUUCUGUGCUUUAUCUGUUGCAUUGUAUGGAUGACAAGACGAAGAAAAGGAACUGAUAUCUUACAUGAUCAAGCUGCCGCGAAUAGGCUGGAAGAAGACGCAUUCGUUUCGAGAUUGGAAGACAAGAGUUCUGAGUUCACUCUCUUUGAAUUUUCUGAGAUAUUGCAUGCUACACACAACUUCUCCAAAGAAAACCUACUUGGGCAAGGUGGUUUUGGUCCUGUCUACAAGGGCCAAUUACCAGAUGGAGUGGAAAUUGCAGUUAAAAGGCUUGCCUCACAUUCAGGACAGGGUUUCACAGAAUUCAAAAAUGAAGUUGAACUCAUUGCAAAACUACAGCACAAUAAUCUAGUCAAGCUCAUAGGAUGCUGCAUUGAGGGAGAGGAAAAACUUUUGGUGUACGAAUAUUUGCCAAAUAAGAGCUUGGACUUCUUUAUCUUUGAUGUUAGCAGAACAUCUUUGGUUGAUUGGAAUAAAAGAUGUGUGAUAAUCGAAGGGAUAUCCCAAGGUCUACUGUAUCUCCACAAGCACUCUCGGUUGCGCAUCAUACACAGAGAUCUUAAGGCCAGCAACAUUCUCUUGGACCAAGGCAUGAAUCCCAAAAUUUCUGAUUUUGGGCUAGCAAAAAUUUUCAGCUCCAAUGAUACUCAAGGAAGCACAAAGAGGGUGGUGGGAACAUAUGGUUAUAUGGCUCCGGAGUAUGCAUCUGAAGGUAUUUACUCGAUCAAAUCUGAUGUGUUCAGCUUUGGUGUCUUACUUCUCGAGAUCCUUAGCGGACAAAGGAAUUCUGGUUUCCAUCAGCAUGAAGACUUUCUUAACCUCCUUGGAUAUUCAUGGCAGCUCUGGGAAGGAGGAAGAUUUCUUGAGCUUCUAGAAGCAUCAAUUGCUAACGAGAUCCAUGCAGCGGAGGCUAGGAGGUACAUUAACAUUGCACUAAUGUGCGUACAAGAGCAUGCGGAUGAUCGACCGACCAUGUCAAAUGUCGUUGCGAUGUUAAACAGCGAGGGUGUUAUUCUUCCAGAGCCUAAGCAUCCGGCAUACUUCAACCUAAGGGUAUCUAAGGAAGAUGAAUCGGGUAGUGUUCUGUACAGUCAUAAUGAUGUAACUAUCUGCAGUAAUAAUGACGUAACCAUCACUGAGGAACCAGAUGGCAGAUAG
rnacentral:rRNA from 1 species